GGUGCUAUAGUGUAGUGGUUAUCACUCAGGAUUUUGAGGAUGAAUUCCUGAAACCCAGGUUCGAACCCUGGUAGCACCU